AACUCUAGAACAAAGGGAAAAUAACUAUUCUUUCCCGCAAACACCUUACCUCUCAGAUCCAACCAAAUUUCUUUUACACAACACCUAUUACAAAGUUCUCAAGGCUUCCCUGCUUUUACCCCCAUUUCCUCAUUGUCUUCUUCCUUCGCUCACCACCCAUUAAGCAGCAGCAUUUCCACCCACAACAAGCGUGAGAACCAUCCAGAAGAAAGUUCACUUGACAUCUGAUUUUUACUCAUUUGUUUAUUACUUUUUUCUGCUUUAGACUCCAAGCGUUUGAUCAAAGUUAUCGGUCGAAAUCUGGUUAAUAUGAACUCCUCGGUUUUUGCAGAUGAAGCAACUGAAGGUGACACAGAAGCCGCGGUGGUGGGAAGAAGUGGAUGAAAUCAGCAAGCCCAAGGUGCAUAGUAUCUUGUUUCUAUGUUGUUUGUUAGUCUCACUUUUUAUAUGAGGAGUUGUUUUGAUUAAUAUAGACUAGUGAUAGAGGGGAAGGCGGUGGAGUUGUACUGCAAGGUGUUCCUUGAGGUGAAUCCGCUCUAAUAACCUGUGAUGUCCUAAAGCAGUUUAGUGAUGACAUUCAACUUUGUCAAAUGAGAAAAUGGGGUAAAGUUCAGGCGGUUUCACUGCUUUGAUGUCUUGUUUUGAUCGAUAUAGAUACAUUUACGUCAAACUAGUAAGAUGAAGUGUUUUCCUUAACCACUUGUUUACUAGUACUUAAAAAAAAAUAUUUUUGGCUUGAAAAGUUAUGCUAAAUAAAUUGUUUUUAGUUGAAAUUUUUUACUUUUUAAAAUUAUUUUUGAAAAAGAAAAGAGAAAUUAAAAUUUUGAGCUUUCUUCUACUAAAAGUAUAUUUGGUGCUUAAUUACUUUUUAACUCUUUCAAUAACAUAAUACUUUUUUUAUGUUUAAUUACAGAUGUGUUAAAAUUAUAAUUAACUAAUUUGAGUAUCAUUUAAAUGCAUAUUUGUUACUUAAUAAUAUGUCUAAAAUAAACAUUUUAUUUCUCAAGAGUACUUUUUAACAAUAAUACUAAAUACUUAAAUUUUAAACCAAAUUUUUUAAAAAUACUUUUUAAAAAUACUUUUUCAUAUCAUGAUUUUUAAAAGUAUUGUUAAACUAGCCCUAAGGAAUUACAAAUGAGGGGGAAAAUGAAAAAGCAAACAACACAUUUGGUAGAUAUUGAUUUGGAAGAAUUUAAAAGUUUUUCAUGAAAUACAUAUAUUACUAACAGCAAUAGAAGUUUGGAUCACUUUCUUUGUUCCCUAUUGGUAGGCUUAGUUUCUUUUGAAGGUUAGCUUUUCACUUUUAUCUUGGUUUUUUUUUUAAUUCGCAUGAAGCCUUUAAUAUUAUGGCCUCAUUAGUGUCUGAAGUUUCCAACUUGUUAUUCUAUUUCUACCACAUUUCAUGUUAAUGGCAAUUGAAUAUUAUCUUUGUUUGGUUCUCAAAACUGACAAUUGUUGUGCUGAUCUUCAACAGCGGCUGAAUAAUAUUCUUGACCUCUUACCCAUUUUGUAAUAUUUAUUUUAUUUAUAUUUUGAGAGACACACUUAGGCUUUGCUCUUUCAGCAGGAAAUCAGGUACAAGUAGAAGUUGGGGUGCAUUUUAGAGCAAUUUCUUUUCAUCCAAUUCGGUCCUUUUCUUUCAAUUCUAUGGACACCACUAUUUGGUUACACUUACCUAAAAAUAUCCUAAUUUAGUUGAAGCCCAAAGUUAGGCUGACUCAUAAUUUAUACAGAGACAGAGAUAACACUUCAGUUCGCUUGCUGGUCCUUUAGUGCCCAGUGAUUCUCCGCCUAGUUAGGUGCUACUUCUGGCUUUGAGGUAGUUAAAAUUUAAGAAGGUAGAGCCUACUAAUUUGGUAUUGCACUUUUCAAUCCCGAAGCACAUAUAGUGUGAUGGCCUCUGUACUUUGGAUAUGUGGCCCCUAAACUUUUAAAAUAUCCAAUCAAAGGUACUUGAAUACAAAAGUUCAAAGCUUUUCAGUGAAAUGAGUUUUUUUUUUUUUUAAGAAUUUUUCUUUUCUUUUCUUUCAGGUUUACUUAUGCUUUUAAAUGUUCUCGAAUUUUUUUUUUUACUAAGAGGUGAAAUGAGAGAAACGAACAUGUAGAAUUUUAAUUUUUGGGUUAAUGAUUUUAUGUGUUUUUUCUUCUUGUAGAAGAGAAAUGAAAACAGUGAUAUGAAAUAAAUUUCUGGGUUAAUGAUUUUUUUUGUGUUUUAAUUUUUGGGUCCCUGGAUUAUCUAUGGACAAUAUCUAACUGUACAGCCUUGGACGAUGAAUUUCAACCCUGCUCAACCUUUUUUUAGUGUGGUUAUAGCGUGGAUUAGGCUUCCUGGCUUACCGGGAUAUAUGUAUAAAAGGAAAAUCCUUCUGGAAAUAGGGGAAUUGUUGGGUCAGUUACAAAGUUCGAUCUGAACACCGACAGUUGGACAAGAGGGCGUUUUGCCCGCAUGGUUGUGUAUGUUAGUCUGGAUAUAUCCAAGGUUUUGGUUAAUGGCUCCGACAGUUGGACAAGAUGGCGUUUUGCCCGCAUGGUUGUGUAUGUUAGUCUGGAUAAGCCUCUAAUAUCCAAGGUUUUGGUUAAUGGCAAACCACAGAGAGUCGAGUAUGAAUUUUUAUCGUCAGUUUGCUUUGAAUGUGGUAGAUACAGGUAUAUAAAAUAAACUUGCCUAAAUGGACAUUUGGAGAGAAAUGCUGAGACGGAGGCGCCGCAGAUAGUCUCAAAACUGGAGGAAUCGAAGACGGCUCACAAAGGAUCGGACAUAGACGAAGGGCCGUACGGGCCAUGGAUGCUGGUAGAGCGAAAGGUACGUCGUAGAUCGAGGGACAAUAAGGUGACUGGUGCGGGAAACUUGGAGAAUACUUUCAUUGGAUCAAGAUUUAUGGCGUUGUUCUCUCUAGAUAAGGACAUGGAGGAAUUUGAUCUUAAGAAUAAGGGAACAAGAGGCGCCAAAAAUAAAGGUAAAGAAACCCUAGCAAAUGCUACUCAAUGGGCAAGAUUAAUGCUCCCUUUAGAUGCAAAAUAAGCCAAGGUGAGAUGGAAUAUUGAGAGAAUAUUCUUUUUCACUGCAUUGUUUGAUGUUUGGAUAACUGAGGUGAGCUACGGUUAAAAAUUUCCAUUUCACUGCUGGUUUUAUUUUGGACUGGAGCUAAAGGUAAUAGUGGGAAAGAAAGCUAGAACGCUAUUUUUUCACUAUAACCUUUUUGUUCUUAUUAAGUCCAAUAAAA
rnacentral:lncRNA from 1 species